CUGGCGGGCUUGGUAUUUGGCGCCUGCGCGCUGAGUGCGUGCCGCUCCGCCGACCGAAGAGGCUGGACAUGACACCAGUGGCAUAUCACGGCCAUGGGGUCUCAGCAUUCCGCUGCUGCUCGCCCCUCCUCCUGCAGGCGAAAGCAAGAAGAUGACAGGGACGGUUUGCUGGCUGAACGAGAGCAGGAAGAAGCCAUUGCUCAGUUCCCAUAUGUGGAAUUCACCGGGAGAGAUAGCAUCACCUGUCUCACGUGCCAGGGGACAGGCUACAUUCCAACAGAGCAAGUAAAUGAGUUGGUGGCUUUGAUCCCACACAGUGAUCAGAGAUUGCGCCCUCAGCGAACGCCACCCUGAAAAUCAGGAACUCCAACUUCUACACGGUGGCAGUGACCAGCCUGUCCAGCCAGAUUCAGUACAUGAACACAGUGGUGAAUUUUACCGGGAAGGCCGAGAUGGGAGGACCGUUUUCCUAUGUGUACUUCUUCUGCACGGUACCUGAGAUCCUGGUGCACAACAUAGUGAUCUUCAUGCGAACUUCAGUGAAGAUUUCAUACAUUGGCCUCAUGACCCAGAGCUCCUUGGAGACACAUCACUAUGUGGAUUGUGGAGGAAAUUCCACAGCUAUUUAACAACUGCUAUUGGUUCUUCCACACAGCGCCUGUA
rnacentral:lncRNA from 1 species